UGUGUGCUGAAAAAAACAAAACAACGGGGGAAAACCAGGUGAUAUAAAUGAUUCUCACUGCAUUUCCAUGCUAGUUCUAUAAUAAGAAACUGAAUCACAAAAACCUGAAGAUAACUUCUCGAUGUGUAGAAAGACAAGGUAAAACGACUCUUAAAGCCGAUCAAUAGCCCCCAAAAUAUCGUCGCUGUAAUGCCCAAUUGUUCGAGAGAGCAGAGGAAAACUGAGUGAGCAGAAGGUCCUUUUUUCCUUUUGUCCAGGAUUCCAAGGCAGAUACUCAGUGGGUAAAAAGGGGAUGUGGCAUGAAGGGACACGGGGUCCUAGUCCCAGUCUGGCCUUGAGUUGCCCUGUUAUCUUUGCCACGUCACUUUUUGGUUAUUUUGACCAUUCAAGUUAGGAAGCACCGCAUCUGAUUUUCAGAGACUCUAAGCACAAACAAUGCCAAAUGAAUGAAUACAAAUGGAGGUAUUUAAUGCUUCUGAGAAUUACGUUUAAAUGUAUCUCAAUCUGGGGCCUUGAAAACAGGGGACAUAUUUUCAAAUGAUAGCCUCAAUACCUCUGCUCCUCCAUCUGUAAGACAGGAGCAAUUAUCUUCUUUGGAUAGGUGUUGUGAAUCUUAAUUGUUAGUUGUUGUGCAAAAUGGUUUUAGAUUCCCAAAUAAAACAUAAGAAAGCCAAAGCUGUAAAAACCAUUUUCAGCCACUUGUCUUUAUUUAGCUGUGAAAACCCUUAUUCUGUCAUUUUUCCACACACGUUUCCCAUACUGCCCCUUCUGAGAAGGUCUGUUCAUCCAAUUAAUGUCAGCAGUAUGAGAAAUAGCAUCUAGCCUGCCCCCAGCACUCGAUGUCUAGAUUUCACAGUGCUGGCAGGCAUGAAAAUAUACAUAAGCGAAACACGAACGUGCCAGAAAAUAAACCCCAUCAUUUUUCAAUACACAGCUCACCUAGAACCAGCAUUACUGGUGACUCCAGAAUCACACCCUGCUUUGCCACGACGGGGACAAGUUAUCGCUGGUGUCUAAAGGGAUUUACUUUGGUUGAGAGCUUGGCCCUGGGGCUUGGUGUGACCACGGCUGCAAACUCUCCUGCCUAGUUCACUGGCAGGUCUGCAGGUGUGAGGACUGCAAGGGCAGCCUAAGCCAUAAGCUAGGUUCCAUCCUUCCCCAACACUUGCUCACCCACUGGAAAAGAAGGCUGUGACUUACGUUGGCCGUGUUGUGCCAUCAGGUGUGCACAUGUAGUUCUGGGGAAGCUGGAGGGCCAAAUUAGUAAUAACUACGCUGUUAACCCACACUGAUUUUUACCUACACGAAGGCAGGACAGACAAGGAGCAGAAAUAACCUUGUGUGGAUAACAGGUACAAAUGAGAGGAAACAGCAGAGUGUGGGCCUUGAACAACUGCAGAGAAGGAAGAAUUGUCUGAAUGGGAAAUAAUAAGAUAAUGGAAAUGCUCUGGCUCAGAGAUGUAACGUAAUUUGAAUUGGAUAACUGCUCUGAUUUUCAAGGCAUUAGUAAUUAAUGACUAGCAUUUGGAGAAUGUCAGGUGGAUAAUACAGCAGUUAGUGGAGCUUUCAAUUUUUUCAUCUUUUAACAACUUGUUCCGCCCCCAUCCCUUUGAACAGUAUAAAUCAGCAUCAAGGGAACGCAAAGAUGUUUUACAUGUGGUCUGCAAUAGAGGUGCCCACUAUUAGAUGACAGGUCUUUAAACUGUGCAGGAUCUUCAGAGUCCAUUAACAGGGACUGACGGCAAAGCAAGCCCUGGAGAUUCACCUGAACAUCUUGCAUCUGUAUGAAAAAGGUCUUCAGACAGAGAUCAGUUCCUCACUCUGCACAGCCCAAAAUGCAGGGUAGCUGGAGGCUGUGCAAAUGCCUCCUGCCCUGCGUUCUAUAACCUUUUCAGAGCGAAAAAAAAUCAGAAGACAACAAAGACUUUUAACUCCAAACCCCACCCUUGAUAUUUCUUGUACAGUCUAAUCUUGUGAUCCAGUCACUUAGUCUUAACUCUUCGUUACAUGGAUUGAUGGGUACGGAGCUUGUAAGCUCUGUUUCUCAAUUGAAAUGUUUACCAUGUUACAUACUGCUUGUUGAUGUGCUCUUCAUUGAUGACAACAACUCAACAGCUUGCCAAUUAAAAAGUAGUUAAAAUAAUUUCAGCAAUCAACCCUUAAUCUGGAGUCUUUUUUGCCUUUCCCUCCUCCCAGUUCCUGUGGUUAUAUAAUAAAAUAGGCCAUUAUUUUUCUAAAUUCUCCCUUCUGCUAUUUUCUAAAGGUAAGAUGGGGGAAAAAGGGAUAAUGAGCUGCAUCACUAAAGAGUUUAUGUAUAAAAUCCUGUCAAAAGUACAGUGCAAUUAAAAGUGUAAGGAGGAAAUCAGAGACGUGUCUCUUUAAUCUUAGCCCAUUAUAGCAAAUGUCAAUGCUACCUGCAAACACUGCAGAUUUACAAAUCCGAAUACGAACUUUGGUUUAAAAUAUUCCAGCGAGACUGCCACUCUAAAAAGCUGUUUCAGGUGCUUUACUCAAACUAUAACCAAGAUAAAAUUUCUCUUUCCUACACUGCAGGCUCUCCAAAGCCCUUAAUUUAAAAACCAUGAAAUUUUGUAGGCAGGGAUACCUUCUGUUGAACAGUGCCAAUGACAACUCUGGAGCUAUAAAUACCCAAUUUGAAUCAGAUUGGCACCUGGACUGAAGCCUAGUGAAGGUGAGCAGCGGUCAAAUGCGCUUGGAGUGGGAUCCACCAUGGCUGGGAAAGCUGCAGGAGUCCAGAAAUUUCAUACCCUCUAAUGUUUUUGCCACCUGAUUUCUGAAUAAACUUGGGCCAAUGAGGCUUAGAGAGAAAGUAGCAUUGAUGCUUCCUUGACCUGUUUGUUAAAGGUCACGUCAUGCUGAUCAAAGACGCCCAACUGGUAUCUCUGGGACCGAUCCCUUUUACUUACUGGCAGGCUGGAGGAGAGAACAUUUCUCACCUUCUUUGUCAAAGUAUCUCCAGGGGCUUACUUGAGAGAAGACUAAGGAAUGAGGAAGGUCAAAUAACACGUUUAAAUGGUGAGGACGUUUGGCUGCUGUAACAGCUUUCCAGUAGUUGUUAUGUCGUGCCAUUUAAAGUCUUGAAGGGCAAAUUUUUAAUUAGAGUGUAAUGACUAGCAUAGUGUUGUAAUAGUAGCACUAUGCUAGCACUAGUAAUCAAUGCUAUACUGAUAAGGCACUUUUAUUAGGGACUAAGUAUUUACAAGCAAAGCUGCAUUUUUUCCCGGACAGCUUAUUCUGCUCCCACUGAGACCAGCUGCUCCUGUGAGACAGUUUUGCUGGUACAACCGUGCUGACCCUGGAGACCUGAGCCAAGCGAUGCUGUGGGUACCUGGGAGCGCCCCCGUCCAUGGGCCAGGAAGGCAACACUUGCUGCACGUGUGCUAUGGGGGGACAGCAGGCUCGGGGUAUCCCCCACCCUGUCCAGGCAGCAGCAAGGGAGCAACUGAACCCUGCCCUUAGCAGGAGCUCUUAGCUUGGGCCCAGCAACUGUACCUACCAGCAGGAAAAUGUAGCCUGUUGACUUCUGCUGCGACCAUGGUGCUGCCUGCCAAGGUGCCCUCCUGGCUGCAAAGCCCUUUUUCUCCAGCGUGCCAAGGCAGUGACCCUCAGACCCAUUUUUAACCCCUCUCUGAAGGGAUCCAUCUGCCAAGACCAUCUCAUGAGCUGGUGCGUGGAGUAAGCCCCUGCUACCCUGCCACAGCGUCACCCUGCUCAGCCCCGUCGUGUCCCGUCACUGCCUGUCCCUGCAGCAGGAAGGCAGCUUUGAGAGAUAUUUACACUUGCCAGGUCUGCCAGCAAGUGCUGGUCUGCAGAGCAGCAAGCUGCAAUUUCCUCCCCGUUUUGUGUCCACCACACAGCACUGCUUCCCUAGGUUACAUCACCUUCCAAGUGGGGAAGAAAUAUGUUGACUCUUCAACUGCUGGUAAUGAUGCAUUAGAACAGAGAGAAACCAGCCCGAAGUAUGAAGGUUGGGUGGAAUUUGCGGGAAGGUUAUCAUAUGGAGAAUUUGAUCCAGAAAAUACUCGGGAGAAUGACUCCAAGAGAGCAACUUCUGAGUGAAGCUGAAUUAGCACACACUGCAAAAAAGCCACCCCAAGACCUGCAGGUGGAUUAAUUCCUAGAACCACCGUCAUUGCUUCCUGAGAGAAACUCUGCUCAUUAGUGACUCUUCAAAAGACAUUUUUAAAAUACAUACUACCUCUCAAAUGGUAUGUAUGUGCCUAAUGACAUUUGGGACUCGAAAACCACAUUACAAAUAGGCAGCAUGUCUGUUGUGUUGGCCUGCCAAGCUGAGCUUUGCUGGAGGACUGUACUUCCCCAUUUUCAGUGUGUGCUCCAACAGGUAGUUGGAAAAAAGGUUUUAUGUAAAUCAGGUACAUUAAGUUCUGUAAUUAACUGCUUAUUCUUGAAAGCCUGAUUAUAUAUUUUAUCUUCCAACUUUCAAAGUGCUGCUUUUUUAACACUGUUUCAUCAAUGCCUUGCCUGGCCUUCUCCCUUUUAACUGUGUUUUAAAGGAAAUGUUACAGCUUUUCAAAAGGUGCUAAACUGACAUCUUUGUGUAUUGGUAUCUUCUGUCCUUAGCACAAACAUGGCAGUGCUGUCUUCCCAAGUCACCCACUCCUGAUCUGCAGAGACUGUCCAGAACUGCCUUUACAACAGAGUUCUGUCUAAGAAAGCAUCUGCUUUCUCACAUGGCCAAAAGCAGUAGCAGACUAAUGUGAGCGUGGUCUCACUAGUGCACCCAGAGAUCCAUCUGUAACCAGUUCUGCAUGACACGCACUGCCCUGCGUCUUCUGAACACCACGCCCUCUGCUGCAAGGCAGACAUGCAGGAGGGAAGAGCUUCUCCAGCUAUGGUGCAUGUGCCCCUGGCCAAAGCACUGCACCAGCUCCGUGUCCCUCCCGCCCGUGCCAGGGCACAGGGCUGAGCCGUGGACGCUGGCAGCCGCUGCUGAGUGACCUGGUGACCGGUGAUAAGCCGUGGCCAGGCACCACAGCAGCUCCCAGCGCUGCACUCGGCUUUGGUGAUGGCACCUGCUGCAGGAAAACAUGCUGCUGGUCUUGCGCUCUGUGCUCAGGAUGCAGAAGGCAGGCCAAGGCAGGGCCUAGGGGUACCACAACCAGUAAGCCUGGGUGUGAUGUGCUGUCAGCGAGUGCGUACAGCACUAGCACGUGCUGGUGUGCAGGGACGUGAGGAUCCGUGCUGGGGGUGCAGGGAAGGCAGGAGGCAUGGGCUGGGGUCCUGCUCCUGAGGCAGCACAUAUGGUUGGGGGAAAACAAGUCUGUGCAGGAAGGCAGGGGAAGAAAGGUAGGGGUGCAGCCCUGCUUCUGUGUCUACUAGAGCUGCUUCUCUGCAGAGAAGGAAUGUAAGCUAACAAGCCUGAGGAACACCCUGAACUAAGAUCUUCUGUCAUGAAAACACAUGGACAUUCCCUACUGAUUUUACCCACUAUAUGACAUACUUCGGGAGAAUCAUUCAGCUUCAAAUGCAAUUAGUUCUAAAUGCUAUUGUUCAUGUUAAAACAACUGUUAUUUCGAUGGAUAGUAAAAGCCUACACACUGUAGUAAAGGCAGCAAUGUCGGACACAAAGACAUUACAAAAUCUAUAACCUGACCCUUUAGAACCCGACUUGAACCAUCAGAUUUGACUUAUGAGAACAGUUACAAUAGUGCUUCAUGCAAAAAGCAUUAGGUUAAUGCUGGAUCAGGCAAAGUUGCCAAACACACCCUGGCGUAAUUAAUCAAGAAUAUUUCAAAACCAGAUCACUUCGAAGAGGUUAUUGAUUUCCUGUCAUGACACGUUUUGCUUAUGAGGUGCUACGAUGCUAUGUAUCUGAGAUGUGCUGGCUUGUAUUUUUCAGUGACUAAGCCUUGAUCUAUCUUCCUGGAUUCCUGCCACUGGUGCACUGACAUCUGUAACUACUCAUGUCUGACAGUCUCAUGCAUGAGCUAUGUGGCUUCCAACUUGGAUGGGAUUAGUAUAGGAGACUUUCUGAAUACUUCAAAUGUAAUUGAAAGCAGAUAAAGACAAGGGUCUCAAGAGGGUGGCAUACUUUUUACAAAUGGUAUCACAUUAAAUCACGUGUAUGCAUGCUUAGACUGAUAAAGAUCUCAGUGUUAAGCAGUAUAGUACGCAAGAAAGUGUUAGCCCUUAUUCUUUAAUAUGUAUGAAUCCUGAUAGUGUCACAUCUUUCUAAAAUCCAAAUAUGCUGCAUGGCUAAAGUGUGGUUUGGCCAAGCAUGCAAAGGUAUGCAUUUGGGAAGAAGGGUGGGGGAAGAGGAACGUAUCUGGAGACUGGCAGGUGUUUUGCCUUUCAUCCACGGUUCAACUAAGGCAUGCAUGUCUUCUGUGAACCUUCCCUGCCAAGUAAUGAGAGCUGAAGACAAACUAUAUAUCAUGCAACUCAAGAUUAUACUGUUACAGUGUCAAGUGCUAGCAAAUAAGAAAUUACGUUUUUUUCCAGAGAAAAAUUCAAUCACAUUCCUUACACAGAACACAUUUCUAUUUACCUGUUUUUCUUGGUAAAUAUGGACACUGAUAUCCUAAUCUGUAAAUGUAUUUCUGUACAUAUUUACUGAAUACUGUAAAAUAGAGGAUGUAAAUAAAACUGACGUCAACACUGC